rnacentral:SRP_RNA from 1 species
GCUGAGCACAGUGGUGCCUGCCUGUAGUCCCAGCUACUAGGGAGGCUGAGGUGGGAGGAUCGCUUGAGUCCAGGAGUUCUGGGCUGUAGUGCGCUAUGCCGAUCAGGUGUCCUCACUAAGUUUGGCAUCAAUAUGGCGACCUCCUGGAAGCAGGGGACCACCAGGUUGCCUAAGAAGGGGUGAACCGGCCCAGGUCAGAAAUGGAGCAGGUCAAAACUCCCAUGCUGAUCAGCAGUGGGAUCGCGCCUGUGAAUAGCCACUGCACUCCAGCCUGGGCAACAUAGCGAGACCCCACCCCA